rnacentral:rRNA from 1 species
CACGUAGGGGGGCAAGCGUUGUCCGGAUUUAUUGGGCGUAAAGAGCUCGUAGGCGGUGUGUCGCGUCGGUCGUGAAAACUUGGGGCUUAACUCUGAGCUUGCGGUCGAUACGGGCAUCACUGGAGUUCGGCAGGGGAGACUGGAAUUCCUGGUGUAGCGGUGAAAUGCGCAGAUAUCAGGAGGAACACCGGUGGCGAAGGCGGGUCUCUGGGCCGAUACUGACGCUGAGGAGCGAAAGCGUGGGGAGCGAACAGG